rnacentral:ncRNA from 1 species
AUAAUGGCUCGUCACAUCCUGAGGCUGUAGCAUGUCUCAAGGGUUGGUCUGUUCGCCCAUUAAAGCGGCACGUGAACUGGGUUCAGAACGUCGUGAGACAGUUC